CCGACUUUAGCUCAGUUGGAAGAGCAUCAGACUGGCUCAAACAAGAUUUUUUCCACAUUGAGUUUAAUCUGGGUGUCGCCUGUUCGAACCAGGCAAGUCGGA